GUGAAUCAUCAAAUUUUUGAACGCAAAUUGCACUCUCUGGCAUUCCGGAGAGUAUGCCUGUUUGAGGGUCGGUUUAAAUUAAAAUCGUUGUUUUGCUUUGUUGUUACCCAUCGGAUUUGGGCUAUCUUUCACCUUUUAAAAGUUGUAAGUGACCUAAAAUUUAUACCUUGUGCAUCUCAGACGCACAUAAGAAUAUUUUUUUAUCCGUCCGGAGUGGCCAACUUUUAUUAGUUAUGACCAUGUUGUGUGUGGCUUCGUA
rnacentral:misc_RNA from 1 species